AUUGAUGCAUAUUCAUGAAGUCGUUUGUUUAUUCGCAAACAGUCCAUUUAUUUUUGUAACGCAACACUUGCUCGCAAUCACAAUUUUGUUUUUUUGUUUUUAUUACUUGUAAAGAUGAUAUUAAAUGAUUUGUCUGUUUCUUCAUAACGUCACCAUUUAUUGAUGCGUCACUUUAAGCAUUUAUUGAUUUUUAUUUGUUUAUGGGCUCGCGUUUAUAGCGUUUGGUGUUCUUUCGAAGCUUCAUAAGCUGUACGAAAGACACCUUACGUGGAAACGAGAGGCUUGGACAUUCUACCAAACAUCUGUUUUUUUGUGCUCCACGAUUAAAAGGCAGUAAAUCAGUGAGAGUGAGUGAAAAAUGACAGAAUGAACGUUUUUGGGUGACCUGCCCCGUUAACACCGCGAUCCAGCCGUUUUCAUAGCGUUUUAGAUCACCGUGUCUUCUGCACAUUGUGGGUUAAAACGUCCUGGACCCGUGGACAAGUCCAGUAGCGUCAACUUCUUCAACUCUCGAUCUCCUCCCGCUUGCUCUCAUUACGGCCCGCGUGCGCAAAGCCGAGUGGCCACAUGUGUUCUGCAUCUGUCUAAAAGGCCCCCAGAGCUCUAGGGAUUCAUUGUAGUCACACAUUACAGAAGAAAGCUAGGGAGACGCUCACAGAUACAGGUCACUGAGCACAUAGUGAGCGAGUUACGUGCUUUCCAAUGCGUUAUAGGUUUAUAGAAUAAUAUUAAUAGUCGUUUUGAUGCGUAAUUACGUUUGCAAGCAGAUGGAGAACACAUGAUGCCACUUCGAAUAUUCGGAGUAAAAUAUGAUCCAAAUAACGUAUGGCUUUAUUUUAUAGGAGCGCAUUUGGACGUAUCAUCUAUUAAAAAUGUCUGAAUGUCUGUUUUUUGGUAUCGCGGCAGUUUAUGGUCGUCAAAUUUUAGCUGAAGAGAAUUUAGUUGAAAAAGCCCCCGUUUGCACGCGACCAUAUAUUUUCUGCAAUGACUUUUCAGAUAUUUUUGGAUGUGGUUUGGCGUCCGAAUACUUUUUGCAACUCGUAUGCAUUCAAAUCGAAUUAAAAAAAAAAAAAAAAGAUAGUGUCAAUAAAAUGAAUUGUACAUAUCAGGAUGAGACAAAAUUCAUGUUUUAAGAAUCGAUCUGUGACUCCUUUUAUGCCCGUUUAUUCCCUGAUAUGUAUAAUAUAAGCUCGGUUAUGCAUUCGGCAGAUACUUCUCUCUUCCAUUCAGAUCAUACGUUUUAUCAGGUUAUGCUUUCCUCCAGAAUCGAACCCACAACCUUUGGAGCUACAGGAAAGAUCGUCUGAGCACAAUACUGUCAAAUCUAAAACUUUAUACAUUUAUUCUCAUUAUUUUAUUAUUUGGAAGGGAAGAAAAAUAAAUAAGCAUAAGUUUGUGGGCAAUAACGGCACCAUAAUAACGACCUUCGUAAAUUUUAAACUCUACAUCCUUUGAAUUUGAAGUCUAGUUCUCUUUCCGGUUUGGCAACUUGAAUUCAUAUUCGGAAAUUGAGUUUCAAGGUAUUGUGAAACGGUUCAUUUCUAAAUCAUAUAUGGCCCGUUCAUCUCGGGACAAUACUGUAGUGCGGUAUUAUAAAGCCCACUUUUGGGUCAGGAUGUAGAGAGUUUAUGGCAUGAUCAAGUAAUGCAUGCAUUAUCCAAUGCUUUGUUGUAGUAAUAAUUGACUGUCCCACUGAAAGAUGUAUAUUUAGAAGAGACUGACUGUACUUUAGAUGAAUAACAGUAUUUAGACCGAAAUAUUACGCAACUAAAUUUAUAUUGAAGUAGCAUGGAAUAUCAUUGGGAAGAUAUGUUCAGUCGUGUUUUCUGGUUUUAGACUUCCUGUACGCCUAUCGUUGCUUUUUUUUUUUUUUUUUUUUUUUUGAAAAAGGUUUCAACUCUACAACAUAUUAAAGGAUAAAAAUAUGCUUCCAAAAACAGCGUUUCCUUACCUUUCACUGAACCGGUCUCCAACAAACCAUUUUUAUUAAUUAGCGUGAAAACAUUUUUAAAAUGUAAAAAUUAAAAAAAAAAAAAAAAAAAAAACUUUCCACGGAUAUUAAAGACUCUUCGUGGAUUUUUUAAAUUUUUAUUAAUUGUAUACCAUACGGUUCACUUGUAACGUUAGGUCGUAUAAAAACCUCGUUCGCGCUGGCGUUUCAGAAACGACCUGUUUACGCGACACAACCUAAAACCAUGUCGCACGACCAUUCCUAAAUAUAGAUACCUAUAUAUAGAUCCAUUAAUAUUUAUUACGAACAAGGAAUCUAAACGGGCAUAUCUAUGGAUACAGCGGCGCGCGCGGUGGUGUUGUUGUUUACACGGUCGUCAAGGAGACGCAGCGCGACCGCGUUCACGAAAGUCUCCGUUUUGCUCCGUUUACACUGAAACGCUACCUGAAAAGGAUCGGACGGAACCGUAGCAAAAGUAACGCGUUUUAAAAGGAAAACGCACUAACGUAAACGGGGCCUGAUCAGUACACCUCUCUCUGGUCCUUUGAAAUAAAGCGGGCGUCGUUGACGCGUACAGGCGGGUCACGUGGUCGCACGCGUGCGGCCCAUAGUUUUCCAGCGUCUGCCGAGCUCCUUUAUCUCAAAACAUCAAAGAAAAUGAAAUCCUCCUGAUGUCACCUUGAACAUUUUCAAGUCACGGUAGCGCAUGCCUCAAAUCAGUUGAAAUUGCCGUCUGAUCUGCUCAAUGUGAUUGCAUGGAAACGAAUGUGUUUGGCGGGGCACUUUACUAACCUGACCACAAGCAUCUUUCCUGAAUGUCUCCACGAGUCUGCUGCUGGGCUUCGGUUUAACCGCUGCAUGACUAACUUAACCAAUAACGGCAAAACACCAGAGCUGUUAACGAGAUGCUGAGUAAGCAGAGGCUGGAGAAAGUGGGGGGAAAUGCUCCCUAUAAUGAACCUUGAGGACCUUUUGAGGAGUGACUUCUUUUGUGCUUUUAUUCUUUUCUUUUUUUUUUUCUUUCUUGUUUUCAAGCCUGUGAAUAACUUCUUAAAGCAAAACGCCAAAGAACACAAGAUUAUGCUUUUUCUUUUUCUUUCUUUUUCCUUUUACACUUGGGUACAGCUAUAUACACUGUAUAGGUACAGCUAGAUUCAUAAACUGUGGCCCUUUAGACUACGAAAAGCCUGUUAAAACACUGUGAUGCUAUAGUUUACUUGGUUCAUUUAUCGUACGAUUCAGAAACACUUUUGCGAAGGAAAGGGAGGGAACCAGUGGUUUGCGUUAUUCUUCUGUCUUAGAUUUAAAUACGAAAUUGGGGUUUCUCGUGACAUUAAAUAAUCUUGCGCCUUCGUUGAGCGUCACGUGUUCUCGAGUCGGCCAAUCAGCUUUCAGUGUCACGUUCCGCCCACCCCGCUCUCCUGAAAGCCCAUCGCGCCCUCUUGUGGAAACGCACGGCUUUGACCAUCACAGGCUGAUGGGAAAAAUGCUUGCACUGCAGAGCCAGACACGUACAUGACGAAAUGUAGAACCCGUGUGGAUUUUGUUGUUGUUGUUGUUAUUGUUUUUGGAUGUUAUGUUAAAGGUGAAUCUCAUCAGUGACAUUUCAUACCAGAAUCAGAAGAGAAUGGGUGAAAACGUGUAAUACGCAUAAAUACAGACUAAUUUAGGACUAUUUUGAUUUGUUCGCAUUGCAAAAGUUAUAUUUUACUGUAGUAAGUCAUGACACAUUUAAUUUUUGGUUAGCCGCCACGUUGUUUUUCCUGCGCUGUUGAAAAGAGGAAAUCAUUUUGAUUUUGCAGUGAAAUGUGACUUUGAUCAGGUUUCGCGAGAUUCACCCUAUGGCUUUUGUAAUAUCAAUAAAGAGCCGAAUUUAAAGAAUGAC